rnacentral:rRNA from 1 species
GAUGAACGCUGGCGGCGUGCUUAACACAUGCAAGUCGAGCGAGAAGUUUUGAAAAGAUUCUUCGGAUGAAAUUUAAAAUGGAAAGCGGCGGACGGGUGAGUAACGCGUAGGCAACCUGCCCCAUACAAAGGGAUAGCAUUUGGAAACGAAUAUUAAUACCUUAUGAAACUUAACUAGUGCAUGCUAGGUAGGUCAAAGAUUUAUCGGUAUGGGAUGGGCCUGCGUCUGAUUAGCUAGUUGGUGAGGUAACGGCUCACCAAGGCGACGAUCAGUAGCCGACCUGAGAGGGUGAACGGCCACAUUGGAACUGAGACACGGUACAAACUCCUACGGGAGGCAGCAGUGGGGAAUAUUGCACAAUGGGGGAAACCCUGAUGCAGCAACGCCGCGUGAACGAUGAAGGCCUUUGGGUCGUAAAGUUCUGUUCUAGGUGACGAAAACUGACAGUAACCUAGGAGAAAGCCCCGGCUAACUCCGUG